ACCGGAUAGGACGAAAGUUUAAAGGUGCUUCGGCACCACUGAUGGAUGAGCCUGCGGCGCAUUAGCUAGUUGGUAGGGUAAAGGCCUACCAAGGCGACGAUGCGUAGCCGACCUGAGAGGGUGAACGGCCACACUGGGACUGAGACACGGCCCAGACUCCUACGGGAGGCAGCAGUAGGGAAUCUUCGGCAAUGGGCGAAAGCCUGACCGAGCAACGCCGCGUGAAUGAUGAAGGCCUUCGGGUUGUAAAAUUCUGUUAUAAGGGAAGAAUGGCUCUAGUAGGAAAUGGCUAGAGUGUGACGGUACCUUAUGAGAAAGCCACGGCUAACUACGUGCCAGCAGCCGCGGUAAUACGUAGGUGGCGAGCGUUAUCCGGAAUUAUUGGGCGUAAAGAGCGCGCAGGUGGUUGAUUAAGUCUGAUGUGAAAGCCCACGGCUUAACCGUGGAGGGUCAUUGGAAACUGGUCAACUUGAGUGCAGAAGAGGGAAGUGGAAUUCCAUGUGUAGCGGUGAAAUGCGUAGAGAUAUGGAGGAACAC
rnacentral:rRNA from 1 species